ACCCCAAAUUUAUCUGCCCAAAGCUGAGCCUUCUCCUUCACACGCAAAACUCAGCUUUUCCUAUUUCCUUGUUCACGUCAGAGUUGGGCAGAGAGAAAGGGAGCCUCGUUCAGCUCUUCCCCUCCACGUUUCCAUCAUGCAAAGGACAACUCCUCCUAGAGAACCAUCUCAGACCUUCAAAAGAGAGAAUCCAGGCCAUCAAUCGUCAUUCACCCUUCUCUUCUCACCUUUCCUCUCGUCCCUGGACACAUCAGUCCGUUUGCGAGCCUCGAAACACCUAGUUCGAGAUCUCCGAUCAGAAAACUUUCUUCAUAAAAGUUGUUCGCUUAUGUCUCCUCUAUCUAGCCUCAAAAUUUCAGCUCCAUCGGAGUUGAUUUGAGUCCUGUACACCCCUCGAAGAAGAAGCUGUUCUGAAAGGAGCCUGUUCCGGAUUUCUGCUUGAAUUCCCUCUCUUGCUCUACCCGAAUCCCCAACACCUUGCUUGAGACUGAUACCAACAGUUGUCUCUGUUUCACUUUGCAUGUUUGAGAUUGAGCAAACUUCUUGGCCUGCAACUAGGCUCGAUCCAAUCAACUCGCUCAGCUCUCUUUCCUGUUGAAUCCCUCAAGAAAAACUCAUCUUUUGGUUAGUCUUUGGCUUGAUGUCUUGGUAGGAUCUUGUGAAGUGGUGGUUGCUACAAGGUUGCAUUGAGGCCAAGUGCUGCAAGAGAAAGCUCGAGUUCCAGUUUGUUUUGCAGGCUGUUGUUGUCGAAGCUUGGGCACGGAGGAUAAUCCUUGGAGGACACAAUUUGUUUUAUUCUAUUUAAAGUUUAUUUCCUUUUGGCUUGCUUGAUUUCACUAAAUUUUUGUAACAUUAUGUAUGGUUGAUGAUGUGUGUGAUUGCUUACCACCAAAGUGGAACCCUAGGGUUAGAACCUCCAUUUGAGUUUAGGUCCUAGUGGGCUAGACCUAGAAGACUCACAUAAAUUACCAUUUAAUGAACUUAAUGCAAACUUGGGCUAAGAACUAAAAAUUGACAUAGGUUCUAAAACUCAACUCAACACCACCUUCCUUUCCUCUUAUUCGCCUAGUUCAUAAUCUUGCGAUUACGAGCCAAGCCCACUAUACAAGCCCAAAAAUUUCGGGCUUAUAGAUUUCUUGAUUUCCAACCUAAAGGCCUUGUCUCUUUGAGGAAUUCUAGGCCCAAA